UUUGCCGUUGAGUGUGCCUUUACCACAUUACCCUACAGUCACCAUGCCCACCCGUCAGACAGCGAUUAUUUUCCUCAUCCUCAUGGCCGUCAUCGCCAUCUACAGUGUCUCCAGGUAUUCACUUGAUGAGAAGUUUGCUUCCGUGCUCGUGGCGAGAUGCAUCGACACCAGCAGCAGCAGGAGCGCCUCGCCCCCGGCCCCAGGAGCAUCAAGGGACGGGGCCUUCUACCGGGAGGCAGACAUCGCCACGUGGGACGAGGACUGGGGGGAGAAGAAGUGUGCGCUGCGGGAGAUGACCAACCUCAGCCAGCUUUUCGACUACAUCCAAACGCCGCUGGUCCGCUGCGACACACAGCUGAUGCUGGGAGGCCGUUUGCUAGGCAAGAGUCGCUACACCGACGGCGAGAAAUGGGUUUGUGUGGACAAGAAAUUCAAAGUGAUUCCCUUGAAAUGUCUGGUCUUUUCCUUCGGCAUUGGGGGAGACUGGUCAUUCGAGGACGAAGUCGAUAGGAAGCUGGGCUGCACGGUGUUUGCCUUCGACCCAACCAUCAAAAAGGAGAAUCACAACCGCACCGCCAGAAUCAGCUUCUUCAACCUGGGCAUCGGCGCCCUCACCAACACCGACCCGCAGGCCAAGAAGAAGGUGGACCGCUACGCCAACAUCCUCGCGGGGCUCGGCCACCUCAACAGCAUCAUUGACAUCCUCAAGAUUGAUGUGGAGGGAUCCGAAGUCGCUUUCUUUGGGGAUGUUUUUGGGAAGACUCCCAACCUGCUGAAGAAAGUCAAGAUGAUAGCGAUGGAGAUUCACAUGGACCCCAAUCUUAUAGAGCUUAGACGAAGUUACAAAGUCUUCUGGAAAUACUUUCAACUUCUGGACUGUUUCGGCUUCAAGAUUUCGCACAGCGCCGUCAAUCCAUUCUGUGGUCACAAAGUAGUGGACGGGCAGCACCGCUCCAACUGCUACGAGAUAGUGUGGGUCCAGGACCGAGAAUGGUAAAACCAAAGUCUAAUUAUAACAAGUCUGGCCACUUCCCGCAAAAAUCUCAUCGGAUUCACGCAAUGACGUCACGCUGCCUUCAAAGGCUGGGUCCGUUACCUGGGAGUGGGACCGAGUCAGUCUGCAACGAGACGGUGCCGGGCGCACAACUUUCAAUCCCUGGCCUGCAUGACAGGUUCCCCUCUCUAAGUGUCAACAACUGUAAACCUGGCUGAAUUCUUCAGUAUGGGCAUCACUCUAUAACAUUUUGGUGCUAAUUUGGUAAAAAUGUCAAAGUCUCACUGUUACUCUUAUUUAACCUGGCACUCACUUACAAAUCGUAUUCCAUGAUAUUAGCCUAUCACUCUGUGCAUCAACUUCACAAGUUGUGAUG